GGGGUUGUAGCUUUGUGGUAGAGCACUUGCUUAGUAUGCGUGAAGCCCUAGGUUCCAUCCCUAGCACUGUCA
rnacentral:tRNA from 1 species